rnacentral:rRNA from 1 species
UACAGAGGGGGCAAGCGUUGCUCGGAAUUACUGGGCGUAAAGGGCGCGUAGGCGGGCUGGCAAGUCGGUCGUGAAAUCCUUCGGCUCAACCGAAGAACGUCGAUCGAUACUGCUGUUCUUGAGGGUUGCAGAGGAGACUGGAAUUCCCGGUGUAGCGGUGAAAUGUGUAGAGAUCGGGAGGAACACCGGUGGCGAAGGCGGGUCUCUGGGCAAUUCCUGACGCUGAGGCGCGAAAGCGUGGGGAGCAAACGGG